rnacentral:lncRNA from 10 species
UCAGGGCUCUUCCUUUGGACAGUGGGGGAUUGUUAAAGAAUCCCAAUCCCUGUUCUCCAGCCCUGCACGUCCUUCAGUCCCUCAGCGUUACACUUGAGUGGGCUCACUCAGUGAGCAGGAGUUUGCUAUAAAGUUGCCAGAUGUCUUGGAAAACCAGUUGAUCUCUGGGACCAACAAUUGCCUAUCAAGCCUGUUCAUUCGAUUCUCAAAUAUUAUUAAGCA